rnacentral:rRNA from 1 species
UCCUACGGGGGGCAGCAGUGAGGAAUAUUGGUCAAUGGUCGGGAGACUGAACCAGCCAAGCCGCGUGAGGGAUGAAGGUACAGAGUAUCGUAAACCUCUUUUGUCAGGGAACAAAGGCGGGGACGUGUCCCCGGAUGAGUGUACCUGAAGAAAAAGCAUCGGCUAACUCCGUGCCAGCAGCCGCGGUAAUACGGAGGAUGCGAGCGUUAUCCGGAUUUAUUGGGUUUAAAGGGUGCGCAGGCGGUCUGUUAAGUCAGCGGUCAAAGCCCGGGGCUCAACCCCGGCCUGCCGUUGAAACGGGCAGU